rnacentral:rRNA from 1 species
AACGAACGCUGGCGGCAUGCCUAAUACAUGCAAGUCGAACGAUCACUUCGGUGGUAGUGGCGCACGGGUGCGUAACGCGUGGGAAUCUGCCCUUGGGUUCGGAAUAACGUCGGGAAACUGACGCUAGUACCGGAUGAUGACGUAAGUCCAAAGAUUUAUCGCCCAGGGAUGAGCCCGCGUAGGAUUAGCUAGUUGGUGGGGUAAAGGCCUACCAAGGCGACGAUCCUUAGCUGGUCUGAGAGGAUGAUCAGCCACACUGGGACUGAGACACGGCCCAGACUCCUACGGGAGGCAGCAGUAGGGAAUAUUGGACAAUGGGGGCAACCCUGAUCCAGCAAUGCCGCGUGAGUGAUGAAGGCCUUAGGGUUGUAAAGCUCUUUUACCCGGGAUGAUGAUGACAGUACCGGGAGAAUAAGCCCCGGCUAACUCCGUGCCAGCCGCCGCCGUAA